AAACCAACCGGGAUUGCCUUAGUAACGGCGAGUGAAGCGGCAAAAAGCUCAAAUUUGAAAUCUGGUACCUUCGGUGCCCGAGUUGUAAUUUGGAGAGGGCAACUUUGGGGCCGUUCCUUGUCUAUGUUCCUUGGAACAGGACGUCAUAGAGGGUGAGAAUCCCGUGUGGCGAGGAGUGCGGUUCUUUGUAAAGUGCCUUCGAAGAGUCGAGUUGUUUGGGAAUGCAGCUCUAAGUGGGUGGUAAAUUCCAUCUAAAGCUAAAUAUUGGCGAGAGACCGAUAGCGAACGAGUACAGUGAUGGAAAGAUGAAAAGAACUUUGAAAAGAGAGUGAAAAAGUACGUGAAAUUGUUGAAAGGGAAGGGCAUUUGAUCAGACAUGGUGUUUUGUGCCCUCUGCUCCUUGUGGGUAGGGGAAUCUCGCAUUUCACUGGGCCAGCAUCAGUUUGGUGGCAGGAUAAAUCCAUAGGAAUGUAGCUUGCCUCGGUAAGUAUUAUAGCCUGUGGGAAUACUGCC
rnacentral:rRNA from 1 species